rnacentral:tRNA from 1 species
GCCUGGGUGGCUCAGUUGGUGGAGUAUGGGACUCUUGAUCUCAGGAUUGUGAGUUUGAGUCCCAUAUUGGGUU